ACUCGGCCCCCCACGGCCGGACCCACAAGGGUGGCGCGCGAACCCCGCGGGCGGAGGGGACCCCGCCUCCGGGCCGGCAGGGCGCAGGGCGAGGGGGAGCGCACCCCGACUUCCCUGGAUCACAUGGGCUGCGGGGGGCGGGUGGAUCGGGGGAGGGGAGGCGCGGGGAGCUUGCUGCGGCUCCUCACCCGGACCUGGGAGAAGACGCCCCCCACCCUCUCUAGUUCGCCCUCUCCAUUCAAGUUUGCCGGCCCCUGCCGCCGAGAUCCGGGAAUGGCACCAGCCGCCCGCCCUCCGCUGUGCCCUGUUUCCAGCCACCGCUCAGAAAUUUAGGUCAAGGACGUCGGGAGCAAACCCACACCCUGGCGCUCCUUUGGCGGCCCCCGAGACGCCCCAGGAUCGGGGGGCUUCAGGAUGGCGGAGACCCUCCUGCACAAACACCAGCCACAAGUUUUAUUUUCCUUUUGCGCUGGAAGUUCUCUCUGGCUCUGGCUCCACACCGGAUUAGGAGACAAAGGAAUACACUCAACACCAAAACUGAACCAAAUCCACUGUGGGCUUUGGAAAAAUGGAAUAUUGGGAAAAUCUCAACACCAGCCAUAGCCUUGAGUGACCAGACCCUCAGUCUCCCUGUUCCCUAAAUUGCAGUAAUUCCUCCUUGACAGGAUUGAUGUGGUGAAGCUCACUCAAUGUAGCCCCUGCAUCAGGAGAAUUCAAGCAGCACAAUAUCAGUCCUCAACCCUCUGAAAGUCUCAACAGCCCAAGACAAUGUUGGACACUUCCUUCUUCAAACUCAAUCUUCCAGGAUGGGUUUAAACACAUGGUGAUGCCACUCAAAUUGAAAUCUCCAGCCCCACCCUUCCUGAAGAGCUCCAGGCUCUGGUCAAUUUCCUAUUCAACAUCUCCACUUAGCCUUUCUAAAGGAAGCCCAAGUUCAAAUCCAUCUUUCUUGCUGCUGCAUCCCAGAUCUCCCACCUGAGGCCCUGCAACAGCUUACAAAACAGUCUUCCCACAUACACCCUUACUCCACUUACAUGCCUGGAAAUCUUUCCCAGACCUCUCUGACAGGGUCGAAUGCCCUUUGAUAUGCAGUUACCUUACCAGAACGUCCUCUGUGUACCUUACCCUGUAUGAUCAUUUGCUUUAUUGCCCAUCUCCUCUAAGCCAGAAGCUCCCGUGCCUUUCUGCUCUCCAUGUACUAGCACAGUGCCUGCUGGCGCACGGUUGACGCUCAAUAAAUAAUGAUUGACUGAAUGAGUGAGUGGAUGAAUGAAUGAAUGAUGGCCAACAUUUAAUUUCAUUCUAGGAUUCUUUUUGUAUUCAUGUUCAUAAGUCAAAUUGGCUGCAGUUUUUCCUUUUCUUACUGCCUUUGUCUGGUUAUACUGGUCUCAUAAAAUGAACCGGUAAAUGUUCCUUCUUUUUUCAUUUUCUGGAACAGUGUGUGUAAGAUUGGAAUUAUGUGUUCCUUGAAUGUUUGGUAGUUUUGCAGGUAAAUUGUCUGGGUCUGGGAUAGACAUUUCGUGGGUUGAUUUUUAACUACUGAUUCCAUUUCUUUAAUGCUCGUAGAUCUCUUCAGGUUUUCUGUUUUCUUCUUGAAUCUAUUUUUAUACACUAUGUUUUUCAAGGAAAUUAUCCAUACCAUCUAGGUUUUCAAAUGUGUUGACAAAAUGCUGUUCAUAGUUAUCUCUUAAUGUAUUUUAAUCUCUGCUCUAUCUAUCCAUAAUGUUUUUUUUUCAUUCUAAAUAUCAUUUUAUAUGUAUUUUUUCUUAUCUGGAUCAGCUGUGCCAGAGAUCUUUUUUUUUUACUAAUGUUUUCUUUCUACUUUCUAUUAGUGUUUCCAAAGAACCAGACUUUAGUUUCAAUAUUGUUUCUUUUUCUGUUCCAGUAAGUUUUGUUCUUAUAUAUUAUUAUAUAUUAUAUUGUUAUAUAUGGCACAAUAGAAAAUAUAUACUAUUAUAUAGUUUGUGAGAAUAUAAUAUGUAAUGUAAUAUUAAUAUAUAUCAUAUAGUAUUCCCUUCUGCUUCUGCUCUUUUUGGAUUUAUUCUGUUGCUCUUUUUUUUUUUUUUUGAAUUGUUGCCUUAGGUAAUUAAUUUUUAGCCAUCUGUUUUCUGAUUUUAACAUUUAAGACUACAGAUUUCACUUUAAGUACCACUCAAGCUAUAUUCCACAAGAUAUAUAGACUUUUUAUCACCAAUGAGGUAAAAAAAGUUUAGAUUUUAGGCUGGACACAAUGGCUUAUGCCUGUAAUCCCAGCACUUUGGGAGGCCAAGGUGGGAGGAUCACUUGAGCCCAGGAGUUUGAGACCAGCCUGGGCAACAUAGUGAGGCCCCAUCUCUGCAAAAGAAAACUUUUCUAGAAACUAGCCAGGUGUGCUAACAUGCACCUAUAGGCCCAGCUACUCAGGAGACUGAGGUGGGAGGAUCACUUGAGCCUGGGAAGUUGAGACUGUAGCGAGCCAUGAUCAUGUCACUACUCCAGCCUGGGUGACAGAGCGAGAUCCUGUUUAAAAAAAAAAAAAAAUUAGAUUUCAGAUACGAUUUCUUGUUUGACUAGUGAAUUAAUACAGGUGUAUUUGAGGGGUAUUUGAGGUUAUUCUUUAGUUACUAACGUCUAACUUAACUGAAUUAAGGUCAAAGAAUGUGAUCUAUAUGAAGCAGAUUCUUUGUUAUUUAUUGAAACUUGCUUUGGUGCAGUCAAUUUUUAUAAAUAUUUCAUGUAGAUUUGAAAAGAAUGUAUAUGCCUUAAUUUUUAAGUACAGCAUUUUAUAUGGGUCUAUUAGAUCAGACUUAUUAAUUAUAUUGUCUAGAUUUCCUGUAGCCUUACUAAUAUUUUGUCAGCUUGACCUGUUGGUUUUUAUAGAAGUACAUUAAAAUUUCUAUAUGACUAGAUUUGCCAGUUUCUCCUGUAAUUCUCUCAAAUUUUGCUGUAUUUUAAAAGUAUGUUGUCAGGUGCAUCAAAAAGAACUGUUAAAAUUUCCCACUGUAACUAUACAUUUUCUGCUUCUCAUACUUUUUGCUUUGUGUAUUUUAAGGCCUUGUUAUUCAGUGCAUACGAGCUUAGAUUUGCUAUUUUCCUAGGAAUUAUUCCUUUAAUAUUGGCACAGAAGAUACUUAUCCCUAAUGCCUUUUGCUUUAAAGUCUACUUUGUCUGUAAUAAAUGUAACUACUCUUUUAAUUAGCCCUUCACUUAUAGAUCUUUCUCUUUCCCUCUUUCCUUUUACUUUGAACCUUUCCAUGUCCCAAAUUUUUUGUUCAGUCUCCUGUAAAUAGCAUAUAGUUAGCUCUGGUUCAUUAUUGUGCUAACUAGUAAGUUUAGUCCAUUUACAUUUAUUGUGAUUGCUGAUAUUUUUAAAGAUCACAAAAUAUCACAAUUUAGGGGCACAAAAAUAUAUUAGUCACAAUCUCUAGUAUAACACACUAUCAUCAUUGUGUAUACUCAUGGCCCUAUUUUAUUUUAUUUGCUGAUAUCAUGAAUACCUGUAAACCUGCUAUUCAACCAGAGAACUAAAACAGAAACAAUGACUUGACUUAUGUAACAUCUGCUUAUGUGUUCCUCCCUAUUUUGUUCCUCUAAAGUAACCACCAGUCU
rnacentral:lncRNA from 10 species